UAACACGUAGGGUCCGAGCGUUGUCCGGAUUUACUGGGCGUAAAGCGCGCGCAGGCGGCCGCGUCAGUCACCGGUGAAAGCCCCCCGCUCAACGGGGGAGGGUCCGGUGAGACGGCGCGGCUGGAGGCAGGGAGAGGUCGGUGGAAUUCCGGGUGUAGUGGUGAAAUGCGUAGAGAUCCGGAGGAACACCAGUGGCGAAGGCGGCCGACUGGACCUGACCUGACGCUGAGGCGCGAAGGCGUGGGGAGCGAACGGGAUUAGAUACCCCGGUAGUCCACGCAGUAAACGAUGUGCACUGGGUGUGGCGGGAGUUGACCCCUGCCGUGCCGGCGUUAACACAGUAAGUGCACCGCCUGGGGAGUACGGCCGCAAGGCUA
rnacentral:rRNA from 1 species